UGAUAAGAAAAGGAAUUUAACCUCUAUUAUUAGGACUACAGCCUACCGCCUAAACAUUCGGCCAUCUUACC
rnacentral:tRNA from 1 species